rnacentral:rRNA from 1 species
GCGUGGGAACGUGCCUAAAGGUUUGGAACAACCGAGGGAAACUUCGGCUAAUACCAAAUGUGCCCUAUGGGGGAAAGAUUUAUCGCCUUUAGAGCGGCCCGCGUCUGAUUAGCUAGUUGGUGGGGUAAAGGCUCACCAAGGCGACGAUCAGUAGCUGGUCUGAGAGGAUGGCCAGCCACACUGGGACUGAGACACGGCCCAGACUCCUACGGGAGGCAGCAGUGGGGAAUCUUGCGCAAUGGGCGAAAGCCUGACGCAGCCAUGCCGCGUGGAUGAUGAAGGUCUUAGGAUUGUAAAAUC